GAUGAACGCUGGCGGCGUGCCUAAUACAUGCAAGUCGAGCGAAGCGGGGAAGGGUGAGUCACACGUGGCUAACCUCCUAUAAGAAUGGGAUAACUACGGGAAACCGGAGACAAAAAGGAUCCUUAUGGGUAGAACCUGGCUGCAUUAGCAAGUUGGUAAGGUAACGGCGUACGAGGGCAACGAGGCCUAGACGACCUGAGAGGAGGAUCGGCCCCACUGGAACUUAGCCACUGUCCAGACUCCUACGGUAGGCAGCAGUAGGGAUUCUUGCGCAAUGGGCGAAAGCCUGACGGAGCUACGCCGCGUGAGGGAGGAAGGUCUUCGGAUCGUAAAACUCUUUUAGUAGGGAAUCGUUACCUAAUCAGAAAGCCACGGCUAACUCCGUGCCAGCAGCCGCGGUAAUUC
rnacentral:rRNA from 1 species